AAGGGCGCAUGGCGGAUGCCUUGGCUCUCGGAGGCGAUGAAGGACGUGAUAAGCUGCGAUAAGCUCUGGGUAGGUGCAAAUAACCUUUGAUCCAGAGAUUUCCGAAUGGGACAACCCGGCAUUCUGAAGGAAUGUCAUCCAUCUUUGAUGGAAGCUAACGCAGGGAACUGAAACAUCUUAGUACCUGUAGGAAAAGAAAAUAAUAAUGAUUCCCCUAGUAGUGGCGAGCGAACGGGGAAUAGCCCAAACCACCCAUGUUACGGCAUGUGUGGGGUUGUAGGACCACGAUGUCGCAAGACAUUUGAUGAGUAGAAUCCUCUGGAAAGUUGAACCAUAGACGGUGAUAGUCCGGUAUACGAAGUCAAAUUAAGCGUAGUGGUAUCCUGAGUAGCGCGGGACACGAGAAAUCUUGCGUGAAUCUGCCGGGACCAUCCGGUAAGGCUAAAUACUCCCGAGAGACCGAUAGCGAACCAGUACUGUGAAGGAAAGGUGAAAAGCACUUCGAAUAGAAGAGUGAAAUAGUCCCUGAAACCGUGCGCCUACAAGCGGUCGGAGCUGCUUAAGCAGUGACGGCGUGCCUUUUGCAUAAUGAACCUACGAGUUACUUUUUCCGGCAAGGUUAAGCAUCUUGAGAUGUGCAGCCGAAGCGAAAGCGAGUCUGAACAGGGCGUCGAGUCGGAAGGAGUAGACGCGAAACCAAGUGAUCUACCCUUGGUCAGGUUGAAGGUUAGGUAACACUAACUGGAGGACCGAACCGAUAAGCGUUGAAAAGCUUCCGGAUGAACUGAGGGUGGGGGUGAAAGGCUAAUCAAACUUGGAGAUAGCUCGUACUCCCCGAAAUGCAUUUAGGUGCAGCCUUGUGAGUUACUAAUGUGAGGUAGAGCGACUGAUAAGAUGCGAGGGCUUCACCGCCUAUCAAGUCUUGAUAAACUCCGAAUGCGCAUUAGUUCUAUCACAGGAGUGAGGGCAUGGGUGCUAAGGUCCAUGUCCUAAAGGAGAAGAAUCCAGACCAUCAGCUAAGGUCCCCAAAUAAACACUAAGUUGAACUAACGAAGUCAGAUUGCUAAGACAGCUAGGAUGUUGGCUUGGAAGCAGCCAUUCAUUUAAAGAGUGCGUAACAGCUCACUAGUCGAGGAGUUUGGCGUGGAUAAUAAUCGGGCAUUAAGUGUUUUACCGAAGCUAUGGGAUCAGUAAUGAUCGGUAGGGGAGCAUUCCACUCUGCGUCGAAGGUGAAGCGUGAGCUUUGCUGGAGCGUGUGGAAAAGCAAAUGUAGGUAUAAGUAACGAUAAAGGGGGUGAGAAACCCCCUCGCCGAAAGACUAAGGUUUCCUGAUCAACGCUAAUCGGAUCAGGGUUAGUCGGGUCCUAAGGCUCAGCCGAACGGUGAGGCCGAUGGCAGAACAGGUUAAUAUUCCUGUACUACCUUAAGGAGUGACGUGGAGACGGAGCAGUGACAGCGCCGCGGACUGACGGAAUAGUCCGUUGAAGGGUGUAGAUGUUGAUCAUCCCAGGCAAAUCCGGGAUGAGAGUCGAACCUGAUAGUAUGGAGCGUUCUUCGGAACAAUCCAAUAGUGCGUGUAAGCAUACUCCCAAGAAAAUCCGCUAAACUUAAUCCUUAAGGUACCCGUACCGCAAACGGACACACGUAGUCGGGUUGAAUAUACUAAGGCGCUUGAGUGAUUCACGGUUAAGGAACUAGGCAAAUUGACCCUGUAACUUCGGGAUAAAGGGUCCCAACGAGAGUUGGGCGCAGAGAAUAGGUCCAGGCAACUGUUUAACAAAAACACAGGGCUGUGCCAAAUUGAAAGAUUACGUAUACAGCCUGACACCUGCCCGGUGCUGGAAGGUUAAGAGGAGAUGUCAUCGCAAGAGAAGCAUUGAAUUGAAGCCCCAGUAAACGGCGGCCGUAACUAUAACGGUCCUAAGGUAGCGAAAUUCCUUGUCGGGUAAGUUCCGACCUGCACGAAUGGUGUAAUGAUCUGGACACUGUCUCAACCGUGAGCUCAGUGAAAUUGUAGUAUCGGUGAAGAUGCCGAUUACCCGCGAUGGGACGAAAAGACCCCGUGAACCUUUACUAUAGCUUAACAUUGAAUUUGGGUAAUUGAUGUGUAGGAUAGGCCGGAGACUUCGAAGCAGGUACGCCAGUAUUUGUGGAGUCGCUGUUGAAAUACGGCCCUUUGAUUAUUUGAGUUCUAACUCGUGGUACGAGGACACUGUUUGGUGGGUAGUUUGACUGGGGUGGUCGCCUCCAAAAUAGUAACGGAGGCUUCUAAAGGUGCCCUCAGGACGAUUGGUAACCGUCCGUAGAGUGUAAUGGCAUAAGGGCGCUUGACUGGGAGACUAACAAGUCGAUCAGGUAGGAAACUAGAGCAUAGUGAUCCGGUGUUUCCGUAUGGAAGGGACAUCGCUCAAAGGAUAAAAGGUACUCCGGGGAUAACAGGCUGAUCCCUCCCAAGAGCUCAUAUCGACGGAGGGGUUUGGCACCUCGAUGUCGGCUCGUCACAUCCUGGGGCUGGAGAAGGUCCCAAGGGUUGGGCUGUUCGCCCAUUAAAGUGGCACGCGAGCUGGGUUCAGAACGUCGUGAGACAGUUCGGUCUCUAUCUAUCGUGGGCGUAUGAAAUUUGCGUGGCUCUGACACUAGUACGAGAGGACCG
rnacentral:rRNA from 1 species